rnacentral:lncRNA from 1 species
UGCAGCUUUAUGGUGAUUCAGGCUGCCUAACAUACAGCUUGUUAAUGCAUAUGUAUUCAUAGGAACAUAACUUUCACCUUAGAACGUGUGUAUAUCACUUCCAAACCAAGUUUUUUCUUCUGCUCACAGUAUCACAAAUCAGUAAAUCCGCAAAUAUGGGCCAAUAUUUCAAAAGGCUUUUAUUAAAACAACCUGGCUGUGCCGUUAUAGUAAUAUAUUAAGAUCCAGGCCCCAUCGAUCCUGUCUUUGUAUUCCGGUUUGUUCUACAGAAUCCAACUCUGCAAAUCAUUAAAUUUUUAUUGUCUACUUAUAUCCAGCUGAAUAAUUUAUCAGGCGGUAGGGCGAGUGAUUCAGAAAGCACUUGAUUGUCUGCAUGCUGGGGGUCUGGGGAGGUAUUGAACCAGGAAAGAUGAUUUAGAAAAUGUAUUGGAUGGAACGGUGGCAGUACGGAGAUGAUUGAGCAGAAAGAUGACAAUGUUAAUGACUGGAGAAUCUUCCUGAUUCAACCUUGCAGCUUUCCAAUGUAAUAAAGCAGACAUUCCUUUUUCAUACUCUCUGCAUUUCUUUGAUGAACAUUCUUUGAUUAAAACAUUAAUAUUGAGAAAUAUUAUUACAAAUUAAAAAUACUCCAGUCUUCUUAGUAACUUGAUUUGGUAUUGUCACAGUGUCUGUUCUGUGUUUUCCUGGGUGUCCACUAGUGGUCUCACUUCCCCAUAGUCACCCCACUGCAGGCACUACAUUUCCCACAAAGCCUUGUCCCUUCAUCACUGUUAACUGCACACCUGUUAAUUGCACCCAGCUGUCUCCACUUUCAUCGUUUUUCAUGGAGUCCUUGUUUUUCUUCACCUGGCUUUCUUGUGGUUUUUCAUGGUUCUUUGUUUUGGACUGCUUUCCUUGUUAUUGACCUCUAGCCUGUUUUUGGAUUUAAAACACUGCAAUUGGAUCUCUCGUUUCCUGUGUGCAUUCAUUACAGAGGAAAACUCAGAAGUUGUUUCAGCUGGACACUUUCAAGAUGAUGGUUGAUACAAAAUGCAGAAGACAUCAAAAGUAAGUUAAAAUUUGUUUAGUCAAGUUGAGAAAAUGCUGUUAGAUGCUGGACAUGAAUAAAUAUGAUGCAGAUCAACACAAAUCCUUUUUUAAUUCUCCGGAGUCAGUGUGGAAGACGACUCAAAGCUGAUGCGUUUACGCAGCUGUUCUGACUAAUGAAGUGCAGUGGUGAACAGCGUCUCACUCUCAUGUCCGUUUGAUGUCGGCACGUCUUUCCUUUUGUACAGAGGGAACAACAGCGGGGGCCUCGAUCAGCCAAACCCUGUUUAAUCUAAAUUAAAAACUCGCUAAUCUUGUUAUUAUGCUGACCCCUUUGCGAAACACACUUCCACAAGGCCCCCUCAUCCCCGUCACCCAAACCUUUUCAUCCGACUGAGACAAAAGGAUAUGGCGGGGAAUUAGAUGACAGUGUGGCAGUCUGAAGUUGGAAUAUUGAUUUCAACAGGCUUGUUUUGAUCACGAAGGCUUUUGAGCGAUUAGGGGUUUCACUUUUUGUCCCUUUUGAUUGUUUGUAGUAAGUUGCGUGAUAAAACAUCUUGGGUCUGUUCGAAAAUAAGGGGUGAGUUUUCACUGUUAAUGCCGAUUUGGGAUCAGCCAGUUUGGGUCACAUUGCUCAAGGUUAGGAUUUGGGAAUGGAAUAAGCUGUGUAUGGAGCCGUGAGGAUGAACGCGUGACCUCCUCCUAAUCCUGCGAUGUGUCCUGCAUAAGACUUUUCAGAGGACAGGCCAGACCCCGUACUGGAGAUUGAGAAAGUUCCAUUUCCAUAUGCAUGAGAUGAGCUGUUGUUAUUUUAAUGAAGGGCAUCCUCCCUCGAGCAAAUAAAAAAAACUGAACUGAUGCUAGACAUGCCUCUGUGAUCAGCUUUAAUGGUCUAUCUUUGUAAAGAGAUGUGGCAGAAAGAAACGCAUUAGGGUGAUGCCUGUGUGUGUCUCAGAAAGACUCAUUUGAAUCAUUGCAGUGAUGAUCCUAGACAAAUGAAAAGUGAAAAACAAAGCAGAAAACUCCCGCAUUUAUAAUGUUUCUGCAAAUGUCCUUUUAAAUGCACUUUUUUUUGUCCUGCUGUCUUUUGAGGAAUGAACCUGCAGAAUUUGACACAAACAUCCCCUGCUCAGAGAAAGGUGAUGUGCACAGGCAUACAAUUAUUUUGCUAUACAUUUUUGCAUUUAUAUAGUUACCUUAGAUCAUGGUAAGUAAUUGGUACUAUUUUCUUUAUGAAAUUUGUAAAAAAAAAAUUGUUAGGUAGGUCUGAUAAUAUAAUAUAAUUAAGUGAUAAUUUAAUAUAAUGUAAAAUAUAAUUAAAUGAUAAUUUUAUAAAAAGUUCAGAUUUGUAUUAAGUAAAAAUAAAUGACAAGCUGUUAAUUAGAAUGUAUCAUUGCAAUGUGGUUUAUAGUAUACUUAAUACAGUGGCUGUCCUCAAGGGUUUUCAUACUAAUUUAAUAUUUUAUCCUCAUAAUAACCUGUUAACAUUCUUGGAUAUAUAUAUAUAUUUAUGAGUAUUUAAUAGUGAAGACUGCUCACUAUCAUACGGUCAUAUGAUGUUGCUAAAAGUAACAUUAUUUGGUGUAAUGCAAUGUGUCUGUGAUUUAAGGUAAAAAAAAAAAAAAAACACAUUAUUUUCGACGUAUUGUACAUUAUUAUUUCUCCUCUAUGCCCCACCUUUCUGAAACACAUCUCUGGCGAGUGGGGUGGGGCCGAGGGACGUGGGAACAAGGAGGGAGGCCGGCGGAAUGAUUGGGAAAUCAGCAACACCUGCGCCCCACCGCAGUCCCACGUAGGAGAUGGAAGGAUUUAAAACUGGAGCGAAGACAGUGAAGGACGAGAGAGGACCAGGCCUGGGCUUUUAGUUGUGUUUUGGUUUUUAUUUGAGCUCACCAGUCGUCCGUGAGGGGCUGGUGCGCUGUUUUGUGUUUAUUUUGGAUUAUUAAAGUUUCUGUUUGAUUGUCCGCCGGUUCCUGCCUCCUCCUUCCCGUAGUUAUGGAGUUUAUAUCAUUACAACAUCCAUUUUUUAAAAAGCUCAUCGUCCUGAAAAGCGAGUUGUGUUCUGAUUGGCCAGCUAUCCAGUGCACUGUGAUUUGCUGAAUAUCUCAAGAGUGUCACAGAAAUGUUCUGCCCCUUACCAUACUGUGAAGCUGUGUCCCGGUGCGACAAGACAAAACCAUUAAACCCAUUACAAAUGAGGCAUUUGUUGCAUCCAGUGGGGACAUAAUUACUGAUUAUAAUGGCUUAUACUUUUUUUUUAAUGCGUUGCAUUGUGUAUUGCACUGCGCAAACAUAAAACCAUGCCUGCAUUUCUGGUCGGAGAAACAAGGUCUACUAUACAC